CCCGUCCAGCGUGCAAACGCCGGAACAAGUAAACUUGUUCCGGAGCUUGCACAUUGGACGGGCAAGGCGGAAUGAGCAGGUAGGGCGGCAGCCCGGAGUGGGAAUUCCGCCAGCAAUUGCGGGAGCGGUGAAGCCGCGAAGCAAUUG
rnacentral:sRNA from 1 species